GACAGAGGGUGCAAACGUUGUUCGGAAUUACUGGGCGUAAAGCGCGUGUAGGCUGUUCGGAAAGUCGGAUGUGAAAGCCCUGGGCUUAACCCAGGAAGUGCAUUCGAAACUCCCGAACUCGAGUCCUGGAGAGGAAGGCGGAAUUCUCGGUGUAGAGGUGAAAUUCGUAGAUAUCUGGAGGAACACCGGUGGCGAAGGCGGCAUCCUGGACCGGCAUUGACGCUGAGGCGCGAAAGCCAGGGGAGCAAACGGG
rnacentral:rRNA from 1 species